UACGUAGGGUGCGAGCGUUGUCCGGAAUUAUUGGGCGUAAAGAGCUUGUAGGCGGUUUGUCGCGUCUGCCGUGAAAAUCCGGGGCUCAACCCCGGACUUGCGGUGGGUACGGGCAGACUAGAGUGUGGUAGGGGAGACUGGAAUUCCUGGUGUAGCGGUGAAAUGCGCAGAUAUCAGGAGGAACACCGGUGGCGAAGGCGGGACUCUGGGCCGAUACUGACGCUGAGGAGCGAAAGCGUGGGGAGCAAACAGG
rnacentral:rRNA from 1 species